rnacentral:rRNA from 1 species
AACGAACGCUGGCGGCAUGCCUAACACAUGCAAGUCGAACGAGACCUUCGGGUCUAGUGGCGCACGGGUGCGUAACGCGUGGGAACCUGCCCUUAGGUUCGGAAUAACUCCCCGAAGGGGGUCUUAAUCCGGAUUAAGUUCUUCGACCAAAGGAUUUCUCGCCUUUGGAUGGGCCGUGGUUGGUUUGGCUAGUUGGUAGGGUAAAAGCCUACCAAGGCGACGUUCCAUAGCUGGUCUGAGAGGAGGAUCAGCCACACUGGGACUGAGACACGGCCCAGACUCCUACGGGAGGCAGCAGUGGGGAAUAUUGGACAAUGGGCGAAAGCCUGAUCCAGCAAUGCCGCGUGAGUGAUGAAGGCCUUAGGGUUGUAAAGCUCUUUUACCCGGGAUGAUAAUGACAGUACCGGGAGAAUAAGCUCCGGCUAACUCCGUG